UACCUGCAGCUCGAGUGGUGGUCGCUAUUAUUGGGCCUAAAAACGUCCGUAGCCGGUUUUAUAAAUGCCUGGGUAAAUCGUAUAGCUUAACUAUACGAAUUCCGGGUAGACUGUUAAACUUGAGACCGGGAGAAGUCGGAGGUACUCCUGGGGUAGAGGUGAAAUUCUGUAAUCCUAGGGGGACCACCAGUGGCGAAGGCGUCCGACUAGAACGGGUCUGACGGUGAGGGACGAAGCCCUGGGGCGCAAACCGGAUUAGAUACCCGCGUA
rnacentral:rRNA from 1 species